GGUAUGCUUACACAUGCAUGUCGAACGGCAGCAUGAUGUGUAGCAAUACGCAUUGAUGGCAAGUGGCGGACGGGUGAGUAACGCGUAGGAAUCUGCCUUGAAGCGGGGGACAACCCGAGGAAACUCGGGCUAAUACCGCAUAAUAUCGAGAGAUUAAAGCUGGGUGGUAACACCUGGCGCUUCAAGAGGAGCCUGCGUCCGAUUAGCUAGUUGGUGGGGUAAAGGCCUACCAAGGGCGAUGAUCGGUAACUGGUCUGAGAGGAUGACCAGUCACACUGGGACUGAGACACGGCCCAGACUCCAUAACGGGAGGCAGCAGUGGGGAAUAUUGGACAAUGGGGGCAACCCUGAUCCAGCCAUGCCGCGUGUGUGAUGAAGGCCUUCGGGUUGUAAAGCAGCUUUCAGGACGGGACGAAAUCGGCUGCGCGUGUCGAAUAUCCGCGAGGAGUCGCGAUGACGGUACCGGAGGAAUGAAGCACCGGCUAACUACGUGCCAGCAGCCGCGGUAAUACGUAGGGUGCGAGCGUUAAUCGGAAUUACUGGGCGUAAAGGGUGCGCAGGCGGUCCUGCAAGUCCGGCGUGAAAUGCCCCGAGCUUUAACUUGGGAAUGGCGUUGGAAACUACGAGACUGGAAUGUGGCAGAGGGAGGUGGAAUGCCAGCGUUGUUAGCGGUGAAAAUGCGUAGAUG
rnacentral:rRNA from 1 species